UCUCCCUCCCUCCUCCUGCCCCGCCCUCCCUUCCCCAGCACAAGUGGCUCAAAGGCCCCAAGAAGGCUUCAUGGAACCUCGGGGCUGAGAUCAUCAGACUUCUGCUGGAUCAUAAAAGAUGCAAUGCUUCCACGGCUUUCUCUCUCUUGGAUCACUCACUCUGGAGGAUGCCAGCUGCCAUGUCGUGUGGACACUCGGACAGCCAAGAGCCACUUGAGUGAGCCAUCAUAGAAAUGGCCCUUCCAGCCCCAGAUCCCAAAUUCAAUGGAGAUUAGAAAAAAGGAAAAGAGAGAGUCCUGCUUUUGGUCAGGGGACCUGGGGCUGAUUCCCAGCUCUGCCACUGACCCCCAUGGGGCUGCAGGAAGUUCCUCUCUGGAACUGCUGGGCACAGUUUUCUGGUGUGCAUGAGAUUAGUCAUGUGCCCACCCUGCCCACGUCUGAGGACCAUGGAGGCGAUGAGUGAUGAGCAAGAACGUGCUUUCAAAAGGGGAAACGAGCUCUUCCCAUGUUCCCCGGCAUCUGCUUUCAACUGCCUUUCAAGGAGGAGAGAAAGG